rnacentral:rRNA from 1 species
AUGGCCUUGGCCUGCUCCUGCCCGGAGUCCGGGUGCAGCAUCGUGGGCUCCCCGGCGAUGCUCCUCGAUCAUCUCGCCAACAGCCACCAGCGCCCCGCCGUCACGGUCUGCUACGGCCUGUCCUCUAACCUCGGCUUCUCCCUUUCACACCCCUGGCAUGCGCUCGUCGGGGAGGACGACCGCAGCGUUUUCCUCGUGUCCCUGGGCCCCCUGGGCGCCGCUACGGCCGUGUCGCCAGUGUACGUCAGACCCGACGGUGAGGCCGAGGUGGCGCCCCGGUUCUGGUGCAAGCUGUCCGUGGGGCCCCCGGGUAUCGACAUGGUCCUCAUGGCCUCGCCGGUGAGCAGCAGCACGCUGGCCGCCGGCGCACCCACGCCGUGGCAGGGGAUGUUCUUGGCGGUGCCCCAGGAGAUGCUCUCCGGUGACACGCUCACGCUCAGCGUCUGGAUCGAUCUGAACCCACCUUCCGCUGGCGCUCCCAAUGAAGUCGACUACACCACAGGCCAGGACAUCGAGGAGGAUGCUGUCAAGCAGGGGCGGAGCCAGCAAAUUUAG